rnacentral:rRNA from 1 species
GACGAACGCUGGCGGCGCGCUUAACACAUGCAAGUCGAACGGAAAGGCCUGCUUUCCCUUGUGGAUUGCGGGUACUCGAGUGGCGAACGGGUGAGUAACACGUGAGUGAUCUGCCCCCAACUUGGGUAUAAGCCUGGGAAACUGGGUCUAAUUCCCGAUAGGACUGUAGGGUGGUGCCUGUGGUGGAAAACGAUUUUCUAGUGGUUGGGGAUGAGCUCGCGGCCUAUCAGCUUGUUGGUGGGGUAAUGGCCUACCAAGGCGGCGACGGGUAGCCGGCCUGAGAGGGUGGACGGCCACAUUGGGACUGAGAUACGGCCCAGACUCCUACGGGAGGCAGCAGUGGGGAAUAUUGCACAAUGGGCGGAAGCCUGAUGCAGCGACGCCGCGUGGGGGAUGACGGCCUUCGGGUUGUAAACUCCUUUCGACCGCGAGGAUGCCACCUGGUUGGAAGGGUGGUGACGGUAGUGGUAGAAGAAGCACCGGCUAACUACGUG